AUUGAACGCUGGCGGCAGGCCUAACACAUGCAAGUCGAGCGGUUGAGGGGAGCUUGCUCCCUGAUUCAGCGGCGGACGGGUGAGUAAUGCCUAGGAAUCUGCCUAUUAGUGGGGGACAACGUUUCGAAAGGAACGCUAAUACCGCAUACGUCCUACGGGAGAAAGCAGGGGACCUUCGGGCCUUGCGCUAAUAGAUGAGCCUAGGUCGGAUUAGCUAGUUGGUGAGGUAAUGGCUCACCAAGGCGACGAUCCGUAACUGGUCUGAGAGGAUGAUCAGUCACACUGGAACUGAGACACGGUCCAGACUCCUACGGGAGGCGGCAGUGGGGAAUAUUGGACAAUGGGCGAAAGCCUGAUCCAGCCAUGCCGCGUGUGUGAAGAAGGUCUUCGGAUUGUAAAGCACUUUAAGUUGGGAGGAAGGGUUGUAGAUUAAUACUCUGCAAUUUUGACGUUACCGACAGAAUAAGCACCGGCUAACUCUGUGCCAGCAGCCGCCGUAACAC
rnacentral:rRNA from 1 species